rnacentral:tRNA from 1 species
GCCUGGGUGGCUCAGUUGGUUGAGCGUCCGACUUUGGCCCAGGUCAUGAUCCUGCACUUUGUGGUUUCGGGCCCUUGUGGGUUCGAGCCCUGCACCGGGCU